rnacentral:rRNA from 1 species
UGCGUAGGCGGCUUUUUAAGUCGGAUGUGAAAUCCCUGAGCUUAACUUAGGAAUUGCAUUCGAUACUGGGAAGCUAGAGUAUGGGAGAGGAUGGUAGAAUUCCAGGUGUAGCGGUGAAAUGCGUAGAGAUCUGGAGGAAUACCGAUGGCGAAGGCAGCCAUCUGGCCUAAUACUGACGCUGAGGUACGAAAGCAUGGGGAGCGAACA